rnacentral:rRNA from 1 species
AGUGAACGCUGGCGGUAGGCCUAACACAUGCAAGUCGAACGGCAGCACAGUAAGAGCUUGCUCUUACGGGUGGCGAGUGGCGGACGGGUGAGGAAUACAUCGGAAUCUACUUUUUCGUGGGGGAUAACGUAGGGAAACUUACGCUAAUACCGCAUACGACCUACGGGUGAAAGCAGGGGAUCUUCGGACCUUGCGCGAUUGAAUGAGCCGAUGUCGGAUUAGCUAGUUGGCGGGGUAAAGGCCCACCAAGGCGACGAUCCGUAGCUGGUCUGUGAGGAUGAUCAGCCACACUGGAACUGAGACACGGUCAAGACUCCUACGGGAGGCAGCAGUGGGGAAUAUUGGACAAUGGGCGCAAGCCUGAUCCAGCCAUACAGCGUGGGUGAAGAAGGCCUUCGGGUUGUAAAGCCCUUUUGUUGGGAAAGAAAAGCAGCAGGUUAAUACCCCGCUGUUCUGACGGUACCCAAAGAAUAAGCACCGGCUAACUUCGUG